rnacentral:rRNA from 3 species
AGAGUUUGAUCCUGGCUCAGGAUGAACGCUGGCGGCGUGCCUAAUACAUGCAAGUCGAGCGAACGGACGAGAAGCUUGCUUCUCUGAUGUUAGCGGCGGACGGGUGAGUAACACGUGGAUAACCUACCUAUAAGACUGGGAUAACUUCGGGAAACCGGAGCUAAUACCGGAUAAUAUUUUGAACCGCAUGGUUCAAAAGUGAAAGACGGUCUUGCUGUCACUUAUAGAUGGAUCCGCGCUGCAUUAGCUAGUUGGUAAGGUAACGGCUUACCAAGGCAACGAUGCAUAGCCGACCUGAGAGGGUGAUCGGCCACACUGGAACUGAGACACGGUCCAGACUCCUACGGGAGGCAGCAGUAGGGAAUCUUCCGCAAUGGGCGAAAGCCUGACGGAGCAACGCCGCGUGAGUGAUGAAGGUCUUCGGAUCGUAAAACUCUGUUAUUAGGGAAGAACAUAUGUGUAAGUAACUGUGCACAUCUUGACGGUACCUAAUCAGAAAGCCACGGCUAACUACGUGCCAGCAGCCGCGGUAAUACGUAGGUGGCAAGCGUUAUCCGGAAUUAUUGGGCGUAAAGCGCGCGUAGGCGGUUUUUUAAGUCUGAUGUGAAAGCCCACGGCUCAACCGUGGAGGGUCAUUGGAAACUGGAAAACUUGAGUGCAGAAGAGGAAAGUGGAAUUCCAUGUGUAGCGGUGAAAUGCGCAGAGAUAUGGAGGAACACCAGUGGCGAAGGCGACUUUCUGGUCUGUAACUGACGCUGAUGUGCGAAAGCGUGGGGAUCAAACAGGAUUAGAUACCCUGGUAGUCCACGCCGUAAACGAUGAGUGCUAAGUGUUAGGGGGUUUCCGCCCCUUAGUGCUGCAGCUAACGCAUUAAGCACUCCGCCUGGGGAGUACGACCGCAAGGUUGAAACUCAAAGGAAUUGACGGGGACCCGCACAAGCGGUGGAGCAUGUGGUUUAAUUCGAAGCAACGCGAAGAACCUUACCAAAUCUUGACAUCCUUUGACAACUCUAGAGAUAGAGCCUUCCCCUUCGGGGGACAAAGUGACAGGUGGUGCAUGGUUGUCGUCAGCUCGUGUCGUGAGAUGUUGGGUUAAGUCCCGCAACGAGCGCAACCCUUAAGCUUAGUUGCCAUCAUUAAGUUGGGCACUCUAAGUUGACUGCCGGUGACAAACC